rnacentral:rRNA from 1 species
UACAGAGGUCCCAAGCGUUGCUCGGAUUCAUUGGGCGUAAAGGGUGCGUAGGCGGCGCGGUAAGUCGGGUGUGAAAUCUCGGGGCUUAACUCCGAAACUGCAUUCGAUACUGCCGUGCUUGAGGACUGGAGAGGAGACUGGAAUUUACGGUGUAGCGGUGAAAUGCGCAGAUAUCAGGAGGAACACCGGUGGCGAAGGCGGGUCUCUGGGCCGAUACUGACGCUGAGGAGCGAAAGCGUGGGGAGCGAACAGG